UUUUACAAACCUGUUAAUCACUCCAAAAUCACUCUAAAAAUUCCCAGCUUGAGCAGAAAGUUUAAGUCAUUCAAAGUGAGUUCUAGCUCACUUUUUCAACUCGUUUCUUCUUGUUCCUUCUUCUAAAACACUUGGAUAACCUCUAGGAAGGGUUUCACAAGUUUGCUUGGGCAAACUAAGGUGAAACCUCACCAUUUUUGAGGUCCAAAGUGCAUGUAAAAUUCUGCUCAUUUUUAUUUCUUUUUAUGUUUAUAUUUUGAUAGAAAACUUGGUUGAAUCUUGUUCCCACCAAGCUCACAAUUUAGUCUAUGUUUGUGGGUUUGUGUUUAAGGGAUUUCCAUCAAGGUUUUGGGUUCAAACACCCCUUUUAUUUCUGUUUAUACAUAACAAAUUAAUGAUGAAAACAAGCACAAGACAUCAUCUUUUAUCUUUUAUAUGAUGAACUUGUGACUUGUGAAGUGUGAACAAAUGGAAGCUUUGGCUUUCCAAACUAAGUUCCACUCCUUCAUUUGAACAUUCUAUAACUUGUUAGAUUAGAUUUACUUUAUUGCUAUUCAUGACCCUCCUACUAUCUUCAUGAUGGUGUGUGUAGUGGUGAACACCAAAGAGGUACCUAAAUGGAAGACUUGUUCUUCUUACCUCAUGCAUGACUUAUGUGAAUUACAAAGAGGUUCCUAAAUGGGGGAUUCAUCCUCCUACCUCAUACUUGACUUAUAUGACAAUAUGAUAUCUAUAUAACUUAUAUAAUAUACAAUUAACCAAACUUUUGAUGAUGAACUAGUGGUCAUUUGUCAAGAUAGUAGGUUACAUCAUCUAAAGACAAUAAUACUUGUUACGAUCCUAAUGGACAUUUUAAUCCAUAAAAACAUUCAAACUCUUUGAGUUUCAUAGUGUCAAGGACAAGUCUUAUGUGUGCUAGAUGAAUACUUUUUCAUAUGUUUAUUUUCAUGUCCUCAAACUCCAAAUCCUUAAACCAUAUGUAAACAUCUCUUAAACUCCAAAUCGAACACAUUCAACUUUCUAGUCUCAACAACUUCGUCACAUUGGAUAAUCGGAAAGCACAUGCAAUUUUGUUGAGGAUGAUGAUGCUAUGAAAUGAAUUAGUGUUGAUGCCUAGAUACACAUAUAGACGUUUAGGUUUAAUCGUUGUAUCAAUUUUGAUUAUGUUGUAUCGUAUUUCCUUUGAACUUGACGUUAUUUGAUUUCCUUGUAAUGUUGACAAAUGAAUUAUGAAAUGAAAUUGGUUUAUUAAAUAUUGUC
rnacentral:lncRNA from 1 species